rnacentral:rRNA from 1 species
UACGUAGGUGGCAAGCGUUGUUCGGAAUUAUUGGGCGUAAAGGGCGCGUAGGCGGUUUGUUAAGUCGGCUGUGAAAGCCCGGGGCUCAACCCCGGAGGGUCAGCCGAUACUGGCAGACUAGAGUACGGAAGAGGUAGCUGGAAUUCCCGGUGUAGCGGUGAAAUGCGCAGAUAUCGGGAAGAACACCCGUGGCGAAGGCGGUUCUCUGGGACGGUACUGACGCUGAGACGCGAAAGCGUGGGGAGCGAACAGG